rnacentral:rRNA from 1 species
AUCCUGUGCGGAGCUACCAUGCAGUCGUACGAGAAGGUUCCUUCGGGAACUGGAGAGUGGCGCACGGGUGAGUAACGCGUGGGGACCUACCUCUUAGUGGGGGAUAACGGUUGGAAACGACCGCUAAUACCGCAUACGCCCUUCGGGGGAAAGAUUUAUCGCUAAGAGAUGGACCCGCGUUGGAUUAGAUAGUUGGUGAGGUAACGGCUCACCAAGUCAGCGAUCCAUAGCUGGUUUGAGAGGAUGAUCAGCCACACUGGGACUGAGACACGGCCCAGACUCCUACGGGAGGCAGCAGUGGGGAAUAUUGGACAAUGGGCGCAAGCCUGAUCCAGCCAUGCCGCGUGAGUGAAGAAGGCCUUCGGGUUGUAAAGCUCUUUCAGAUGCGAAGAUGAUGACGGUAACAUCAGAAGAAGCCCCGGCUAAUUUCGUGCCAGCAGCCGCGGUAAUACGAAAGGGGCAAGCGUUGUUCGGAUUUACUGGGCGUAAAGGGCACGCAGGCGGUCCUGCCAGUCAGGGGUG